rnacentral:misc_RNA from 1 species
AGCUCUCAACUGCUUUAGCUUUUUAUGGUUGAAGUGAAGUUGGAUUUGGAGGAAUGAUUAUUGCUGGCGUGACCUUUUCAGGUUGCUUGUUAGCUCCUCUUAAAUGGAUGAACUUUCCAGUAGUAAAAUAACACCAAUGUGAUAAUUAUCUACGUUGGAUGUGCUUUUUACAAGGAAAGAUGUAUAUCUGUCUUGAAGGCAAAAACACCUCUUGACGAAACAAAUGACAA